rnacentral:rRNA from 1 species
CUAGUACGAGAGGACCGGGAAGAACACACCUCUGGUGUACCAGUUAUCGUGCCUACAGUAAACGCUGGGUAGCCAAGUGCGGAGAGGAUAAAUGCUGAAAGCAUAUAAGUAGUAAGCCCACCCCAAGAUGAGUGCUCUCUCCUCCGACUUCCCUAGAGCCUCCGGUAUCACAGCCGAGACAGCGACGGGUUCUCCACCCAU